rnacentral:rRNA from 1 species
GAUGAACGCUGGCGGCGUGCCUAAUACAUGCAAGUCGAGCGAACAGACGCGAAGCUUGCUUUUCUGAUGUUAGCGGCGGACGGGUGAGUAACACGUGGAUAACCUACCUAUAAGACUGGGAUAACUUCGGGAAACCGGAGCUAAUACCGGAUAAUAUCUUGAACCGCAUGGUUCAAUAGUGAAAGACGGUCUUGCUGUCACUUAUAGAUGGAUCCGCGCUGCAUUAGCUAGUUGGUAAGGUAACGGCUUACCAAGGCAACGAUGCAUAGCCGACCUGAGAGGGGGUUGGCCGCCCCUGAACGUGACCCGCGUCCCUGGGCCUGAGGGAGGGCCGAGGUGGGGACGGUACGGAAAUGGGGGAAAGCUUGCCGAAGCAGCGCCGGGUGGGUGAUGAGGUGCUGCGGACGGUAAAACUCCCUUAUGGUGGAAAACCACUUGCGUAAGUAAAGGAGCGAAUGUGACGGUACCUGAAGAAGAAGCCCCGGCUAACUACGUG